rnacentral:rRNA from 1 species
GAUGAACGCUGGCGGCGUGCCUAAUACAUGCAAGUCGAGCGAACAGACGAGGAGCUUGCUCCUCUGACGUUAGCGGCGGACGGGUGAGUAACACGUGGAUAACCUACCUAUAAGACUGGGAUAACUUCGGGAAACCGGAGCUAAUACCGGAUAAUAUAUUGAACCGCAUGGUUCAAUAGUGAAAGACGGUUUUGCUGUCACUUAUAGAUGGAUCCGCGGCGCAUUAGCUAGUUGGUAAGGUAACGGCUUACCAAGGCAACGAUGCGUAGCCGACCUGAGAGGGUGAUCGGCCACACUGGAACUGAGACACGGUCCAGACUCCUACGGGAGGCAGCAGUAGGGAAUCUUCCGCAAAGGGCGAAAGCCUGACGGAGCAACGCCGCGUGAGUGAUGAAGGUCUUCGGAUCGUAAAACUCUGUUAUUAGGGAAGAACAAAUGUGUAAGUAACUAUGCACGUCUUGACGGUACCUAAUCAGAAAGCCACGGCUAACUACGUG